rnacentral:misc_RNA from 1 species
GAGAAAGUAUAAUCCCUGAUUCCGAAUAGCUUUGAGGCAUAAGGCGAAUAUAUACCGACUCGGUAAAGUAUUAAAGGAGGGAAGAGGUCUCCUCUCCUUAAGCCCCCUUAAGAUUAGUUUUAAGGUAAACUAGUUAGUUAUUCAGGUGUAAAGAAAUAGUGAUAGACUAAAAAUGGAAUGUAUUUAAUUGAGAUAGGGAAUUGACAGGUUUAGCAUUAAAAAAGAAGACCAAUUUGUUGGUCAUAAAAGAUAGACAUUAU